UACAGAGGUGGCAAGCGUUGUUCGGAAUUACUGGGCGUAAAGGGCGCGUAGGCGGCCAUCUAAGUCAGACGUGAAAUCCCCCGGCUUAACCUGGGAACUGCGUCUGAUACUGGACGGCUUGAGUAUGGGAGAGGGAUGUAGAAUUCCUGGUGUAGCGGUGGAAUGCGCAGAUAUCAGGAGGAACACCAAUAGCGAAGGCAGCUCGCUGGGACGUUACUGACACUGAGGCGCGAAAGCGUGGGGAGCGAACAGG
rnacentral:rRNA from 1 species